rnacentral:rRNA from 1 species
UUGCACCUUUCAAGCGAGUGGCGAACGGGUGAGUAACACGUGGAUAACCUGCCUCAAGGCUGGGGAUAACAUUUGGAAACAGAUGCUAAUACCGAAUAAAACUUAGUAUCGCAUGAUACAAAGUUGAAAGGCGCUACGGCGUCACCUAGAGAUGGGUCCGCGGUGCAUUAGUUAGUUGGUGGGGUAAAGGCCUACCAAGACAAUGAUGCAUAGCCGAGUUGAGAGACUGAUCGGCCACAUUGGGACUGAGACACGGCCCAAACUCCUACGGGAGGCUGCAGUAGGGAAUCUUCCACAAUGGGCGAAAGCCUGAUGGAGCAACGCCGCGUGUGUGAUGAAGGCUUUAGGGUCGUAAAGCACUGUUGUAUGGGAAGAAAUGCUAGAAUAGGGAAUGAUUCUAGUUCGACGGUACCAUACCAGAAAGGGACGGCUAAAUACGUGCCAGCAGCCGCGGUAAUACGUAUGUCCCGAGCGUUAUCCGGAUUUAUUGGGCGUAAAGCGAGCGCAGACGGUUGAUUAAGUCUGAUGUGAAAGCCCGGAGCUCAACUCCGGAAUGGCAUUGGAAACUGGUUAACUUGAGUGUUGUAGAGGUAAGUGGAACUCCAUGGGUA